AUGGGAAAGUGGAAGAAACCGCUAGCACGGAACUGUAGGAGGGGGUCCACAGAGGGGUCGAGGUCGAUGAUCGGGAUGCCACCAUGGUCCACCACCUCCUAAUAGUGGGGAUCUGGUCGAAGCUCAGGGGGUUGGAUCUAUUAGGAUGGGAGGUAGAAGAGGCCUACCUCCACGAGGGCUUAUAUCCAUUGGGGGAUGCCAAUGGUGCCAGCCGCUUCCAUGAAGUCGUGGUUUGAGAGCGAGGGAGGAAGUUAGGUGUUCUCACUAGUUGGUGUUGAAGGCUAUACUAGAGGCGUAGAGCUGAAGUAACUGAUACAAGACAAGGGCAUACUUGGUGGGAC
rnacentral:lncRNA from 1 species